rnacentral:tRNA from 1 species
UUAACUAAAACCAAAAUUGAGGUAUAUUACUGUUAAUAAUAUUAUUGAAUUAAUAAAUUCUAGUUAAG